UUUAAGCAAAAUCUUGUUUUAUGUAUUAGGUCACACUGGGGCACACGAUUUUACCUCUUCUGAGUGGGUCACAGAUACCAGCUCUUUCAAAAUAUAAUAGCUACUAACGGAAUCUCAAGUGUCUGCGCAUGAGACCAGCCAGAAUGCAAAAGUGAUCAUUGACAUGGCAUCCCCACAAGGACUGUAGAUGGAGGCUUCCUAUUGUGAAAUGCUACAGAGCCUCCUAUCAUGGAAAUGGACCUCUUCUCGGUUUUCCCGUUCAAAGCUUU